CGCGUGAGUGAUGAAGGCCUUAGGGUUGUAAAGCUCUUUUACCAGGGAUGAUAAUGACUUUACCUGGAGAAUAAGCUCCGGCUAACUCCGUGCCAGCAACCGCGGUAAUACUGAGGGAGCUAGCGUUGUUCGGAAUUACUGGGCGUAAAGCGCACGUAAGCGGCUACUCAUGUCAGAGGUGAAAGCCCGGGGCUCAACCCCGGAACGGCCUUUGAAACUAAGUAGCUAAAAUCUUGGAGAGGUCGCUGGAAUUCCGAGUGUAGAAGUGAAAUUCAUAUAUGUUCGGAAGAACACCAUUGGCGAAUGCGACUGACUGGACCAGUAUUGACGCUGAUGUGCUAAAGCGUGGGGAGCACACAGGAUUAAAUACCCGGGUAGUCCACGCCAUAAACUAUCAUGACUAGCUGUCCCGACACUUGGUGUUUGGGUGGCGCAGCUCAUCCAUUACGUUAUCCCCCUGGGGAGUACGGUCGCAAAAUUAAAACUCAAAGGAAUUGACGGGGGCCUGCACAAACGGUGGAGCAGGUGGUUUAAUUCGAAGCGACGCAUAUAACCUUACCCGCGUUUGACAUCCCGCGCUUACCAAAGAGAUCUAGGGUUCCCUUCGGGGACAC
rnacentral:rRNA from 1 species